GGGCACAAAUACAUUACAAUUAAUUUAACAGACCGAAUUAAGCUAAAUUAAAUUGGAGGCCUUUGCUUUCUCCCAACCAUUUUCAUCAUCAGGCCAUACAAAGAGCAAGCCCUGAGACACCAUUGCAGAGAGAGAGAGAGAGUUGAGACUCGAGCCCAAACCUAGCCCAUCCUCAACUGGCCCAUACUAUGCUCCAAUCUCACUGAAGCCCUAAUCCCUUUCCGUUCACUUCAUUCCUCUCUGAAACCCUAAGAACACAGAAGCCACGCUGUUCUUUCAAAUCGUAACCGAAGAAUGAAGAUGGUGCGCUGCUGUCGGUGCUUCGCCUGAGUCUCAUUCCGUUUGCGCCCACUAUCACAGGUUGUGCUGAGGCUUAACUGGUUCUUGAAGCAUAUUUCAGAGUUUUAUCAGAGAACAAAUGGGUUAUAUUGGGACUCACGGUGUUGCAGCUCUGCACAGAUAUAAAUAUAGUGGAGUAGAUCAUUCCUAUGUGGCCAAAUAUGUACUACAACCCUUUUGGAGUCGCUUUGUUAAUUUUUUCCCCCUAUGGAUGCCUCCAAACAUGAUAACUCUUAUGGGAUUUAUGUUCUUACUACUGUCUGCAUUGCUUGGUUAUAUAUACUCCCCACAAUUGGACACAGCUCCUCCAAGAUGGGUUCAUUUUGCUCAUGGACUACUUCUGUUUUUAUACCAGACAUUUGAUGCUGUUGAUGGGAAGCAAGCUAGACGAACAAAUUCCUCAAGCCCAUUGGGGGAGCUCUUUGAUCAUGGGUGUGAUGCACUUGCUUGCACAUUUGAAGCAUUGGCUUUUGGGAGCACAGCCAUGUGUGGAAGAACUACUUUCUGGUGGUGGUUAAUAUCUGCAAUUACAUUUUAUGGUGCAACCUGGGAGCAUUAUUUCACCAAUACACUUAUACUGCCUGUUAUAAAUGGGCCUACAGAGGGUCUUAUGAUAAUAUACAUCUGUCACUUUUUCACUGCUAUCGUGGGUGCUGAGUGGUGGGUUCAGCAAUUUGGAAAGUCUUUGCCAUUCUUAAAUUGGCUUCCUUAUCUUGGGGGAAUCCCGACAUUCAAAGCUAUAUUGUGUUUAAUGAUAGCUUUUGGUGUUACACCAACAGUCACAUGCAAUGUUAGUAAUGUUUACAAGGUUGUGAAGGGAAAGAAUGGAAGCAUGCCACUUGCAUUGGCAAUGCUUUACCCAUUUGUUGUACUUGUGGGAGGAGUGCUUGUGUGGGAUUAUUUGUCACCAUCAGACAUCAUGGGGAAAUAUCCACAUUUAGUUGUUAUAGGAACAGGACUUACUUUCGGAUAUCUUGUGGGGAGGAUGAUUUUGGCACACUUAUGUGAUGAACCUAAGGGUCUGAAAACUGGGAUGUGCAUGUCCCUCAUGUUUCUCCCAUUGGCCAUUGCCAAUGUACUUGCAUCCAGGCUAAAUGAUGGGGUUCCUUUAGUAGAUGAGAGACUAGUUCUUCUUGGUUACUGUGCAUUUUCAGUGACACUAUACUUGCAUUUUGCCACAUCAGUCAUUCAUGAAAUUACCAAUGCCCUGGGAAUAUAUUGUUUCAGGAUAACUAGGAAGGAAGCUUGAAUCCACCCAAGAUUUCCUUUAGCUUGCAAGUCGAGCAAAAUAUUGGCAAGGACAUAUGGUGGCCUUCUAGAAUUUUUGUGGUAGAAAGUGCAGAAGAUUCUGUCACCAUGUUGUAUGACGACUAAUAGCAGAAUUUGAGGUAUAAAUAAAAGCUCCUAAGUUCUUCUGACAUGUUUUUAUUUGAUUUUCAACAUUCAUGUCUGUAAUUUGUAGCUGGUUUGUUGCAGCUUUUACUUCUCAUUUGUUAUAGUUGGUUUGUCAAUAUCUUGUAAAAAAAGAAUCACAAUCAAUUGGUAUGAAAUUUUGUUGCUUA